GAAUUGGACAGUUUGAGUUCCUCUUCAAGAGUCUGCAAUGUAGGUCAGGGCUCUGCUGACAUUUCCAUUGACCUCAGAAGUGAAAAUCUAAAGUGAGUGCUGACAGGCAGGCAGUGAGGAAAGAAGACAUGACACAGCCAACAAGGGUGGCAGCCUGGCUCUGAAGUGGAAUUAUGUGCUUCAAACAGGUUGAAAGAGGGAAACAGUCUUUUCCUGCUUCCAGACAUGAAUCAGGUCACUAUUCAAUGGGAUGCAGUAAUAGCCCUUUACAUACUCUUCAGCUGGUGUCAUGGAGGAAUUACAAAUAUAAACUGCUCUGGCCACAUCUGGGUAGAACCAGCCACAAUUUUUAAGAUGGGAAUGAAUAUCUCUAUAUAUUGCCAAGCAGCAAUUAAGAACUGCCAACCAAGGAAACUUCAUUUUUAUAAAAAUGGCAUCAAAGAAAGAUUUCAAAUCACAAGGAUUAAUAAAACGACAGCUCGGCUUUGGUAUAAAAAUUUUCUGGAACCACAUGCUUCUAUGUACUGCACUGCUGAAUGUCCCAAACAUUUUCAAGAGACACUGAUAUGUGGAAAAGACAUUUCUUCUGGAUAUCCGCCAGAUAUUCCUGAUGAAGUAACCUGUGUCAUUUAUGAAUAUUCAGGCAACAUGACUUGCACCUGGAAUGCUGGGAAGCUCACCUACAUGGACACAAAAUACGUGGUACAUGUGAAGAGUUUAGAGACAGAAGAAGAGCAACAGUAUCUCACCUCAAGCUAUAUUAACAUCUCCACUGAUUCAUUACAAGGUGGCAAGAAGUACUUGGUUUGGGUCCAAGCAGCAAACGCACUAGGCAUGGAAGAAUCAAAGCAACUGCAAAUUUACCUGGAUGAUAUAGUGAUACCUUCUGCAUCCGUCAUUUCCAGGGCUGAGACUAUAAAUGCUACAGUGCCCAAGACCAUAAUUUAUUGGGAUAGUCAAACAACAAUUGAAAAGGUUUCCUGUGAAAUGAGAUACAAGGCUACAACAAACCAAACUUGGAAUGUUAAAGAAUUUGACACCAAUUUUACAUAUGUGCAACAGUCAGAAUUCUACUUGGAGCCAAACAUUAAGUACGUAUUUCAAGUGAGAUGUCAAGAAACAGGCAAAAGGUACUGGCAGCCUUGGAGUUCACCGUUUUUUCAUAAAACACCUGAAACAGUUCCCCAGGUCACAUCAAAAGCAUUCCAACAUGACACAUGGAAUUCUGGGCUAACAGUUGCUUCCAUCUCUACAGGGCACCUUACUUCUGACAACAGAGGAGACAUUGGACUUUUAUUGGGAAUGAUCGUCUUUGCUGUUAUGUUGUCAAUUCUUUCUUUGAUUGGGAUAUUUAACAGAUCACUCCGAACUGGGAUUAAAAGAAGGAUCUUAUUGUUAAUACCAAAGUGGCUUUAUGAAGAUAUUCCUAAUAUGAAAAACAGCAAUGUUGUGAAAAUGCUACAGCCAGGUGUGGUGGUGUGCUCCUGUGAUCCGAGCUACUUGGGAAGCUGAAGUAGGAGGACUGCUUGAGCCCAGGAGUCCAACACCAGCUUCACAACAUACCAAGACCCUGUCUCAAAAAAAAAAAUUAGAUUUUGAGUCUUGCUCUAUUGCCCAGGCUGGAGUGCAAUGGUGCCAUCUUGGCUCACUGCAACCUCUGACUCCUGGGUUCAAGCCAUUCUCCUGCCUCAGCCUCCCGAGUAGCUGGGAUUACAGGUGAGUGCCACCAUGCCUGGCUAAGUUUUGUAUGUUCAAUAGAGAUGGGAUUUCUCCAUUUUGGCCAGGCUGGUCUUGAACUCCUGACCUCAGGUGAUCCACCUGCUUCAGCCUCCCAAAAUGCUGAGAUUAUAUAUAUGAGCCACUGAGCCUGGCCAGUUUGUUCCUCUAUAAACAAUGUUUGUGUUUGUUAAAUGUCAGUUGUGGAGAAGGUAUAAGUCUACCUUUUAAGAAUUAUGGAGAUUAUUCAUAAUCUGAGAAUCUGGUAUUGCACUAUUUUAAUUUUAUAUAAACUUUUUCAAUACAUAACACUACAAAUAUAUUCAGGAGUUAUGUUGGUGUCCUAUAAGUUUAAUACUUUGGAGAGAUGACUAAAACUAACAAAGUAAAAACUUUUAGAAAUGAAACUUUUACAAAAUGAGGCAGUUAAGGUUGAACAGUUAAUCUUAGAUUCUGAGUUUCCUCAUUAUAAGUAAAAGUUUAAAAUGAUGUUAAAACCAUCUUACCAAGUUUAACGAGUGCCAGCAUUCAUUUGAUGCCCUAAAUGACUAUGUUAGCAACCACCUCUUAGUAUUUAUCCUGACAACUGACACUUUAGGAGAAGCACAUCUCAGUUAUUCAUAGAAUAGUGUGAUUACGUAUUUUCAGGGUGUUUGGUAUCAGCAAUGAACCAAAUUAGACAUUUAAAGUAAUGGAACUAUACCAGAAAUGGAAACUGAACUAGUAUUUCCUAGAAAAAACUUUGUCACUGUCACUGUGGUUAUCCACUUAAUUGAGCUUUUGAUUUACAAGUACGUUCAUUUACCUAACAGCUACACAGAAGACCAUAUCAUACCCAUAGACUUAAAAAUGAUUACAUUAACAAUCAUAGUUGACAUUUUGGGUUGUAUAUUAGGCUCUUGCUUCAUCAGGCAUCGUCUACCAUCUAGGGUUUAUUCUUUAGAAAGCACAGAAGCAAGUUUGUCUUUGUUGUUAUUUUUGUUUUCGUUGUUAUUUUUGUUUUUGUUUUUUUCUCUAACUAGACAGGCAACCACUGACAAAAGCCAUGCCUGUAUUAGUGAAACUCCCAGAUAUUAAUAGGAGGAGAAGGUAGAAAAAAGAAAUGGGGAAAUAGAAAGGCCUCUACAGAUGGUGAUUUCAUACAGAAAGGUUACCGACUUGCUAAGAAAAAUUAUAUUUAAUUUUCCAACUAAUUUUUAACUGUCGAAAAGUGUGAAGAUUGAACAACACCUACAAUCCUGUUGAACUGGCCAGAAAGAAUGGGAUCUCUCCAGAACAAGUCAGUUCAACUCAGUAAAUACUUAUUGACUACCUGCCCUGUACCACUCAGUGUGCCAGAUGCUGAAGAUGAGGGAUCCUUGCGUGCAUAGAGUUUAUAAUCCAGGGAGCAUGCAGGAUAAGAGAACCACUGUUAUCAAUGGCAAUCAGUGCAAGUCUUCACUUGAUAAUGUAAGUCUAAGUUAAACAAUAUACUGAUGGACCUAGAGCAUGAUAAUUUCUCAAAUAAUAUUUAUGUAAGAGUUGUCAUCUUCUGACUUUUUUUUUCUUGCAUCUAGGGAAAAGAAGAGAAUAAAGAAGGUUAUCAUUGCUACCUGCAUCUUACUGUAUUCUCAUAAUUUGUUGUGCUUGCUUAACAACCAGAUUCAAGUUCUUUCCUCAAUAGCUCUCAUCUGUUCCCUCAAAGAAUAUGCCUUAGAUGCAUUUGAAACACCAUUUUGUGUCUGACUUCAGCAAUUUUGUAAGAUGCUGCCAUUAGAAGUUAAUAGAGCAGUGGUCUUUCAACAUUUUAGAUGGUAUACUCCUUCAGAAAAAAAAAAAAAGCAUUUUUGAGAAAUAUCCCCAACAUAUGUUUGGUUGUUUUUUUAUUUCCUUGAAAAACAUAUGUAUGCCGGGCGCGGUGGCUCACGCCUGUAAUCCCAGCACUUUGGGAGGCUGAGGUGGGCAGAUCACGAGGUCAGGAGUUCGAGACCAGCCUGGCCAAUAUGGUGAAACCCCAUCUCUACUAUAAAUACAAAAAUUAGCCAGGCAUGGUGGCGCGUGCCUGUAGUCCCAGCUACUCAGGAGGCUGAGGCAGGAGAAUCACUUGAACCCGCGAGGUGGAGGUUGCAGUGAGCUGAAAUUGUGCCACUGUACUCUAGCCGGGGCAACAGAGUGAGACACUGUUUCAAAAAAAAAAAAAAAAAAAACAGAAAAA